UACGGAGGGUGCGAGCGUUGUCCGGAAUCAUUGGGCGUAAAGGGCGCGUAGGCGGCCCUCCUUGUCGCGUGUGAAAGCCCCGGGCUCAACCUGGGAACGGCGCGCGAGACGGGGGGGCUGGAGUUCGGGAGAGGAGCGUGGAAUUCCCAGUGUAGAGGUGAAAUUCGUAGAUAUUGGGAAGAACACCGGUGGCGAAGGCGGCGCUCUGGACCGAGACUGACGCUGAGGCGCGAAAGCGUGGGGAGCAAACAGG
rnacentral:rRNA from 1 species